rnacentral:rRNA from 11 species
CAACUUUCAGCAACGGAUCUCUUGGCUCUCGCAUCGAUGAAGAACGCAGCGAAAUGCGAUAAGUAAUGUGAAUUGCAGAAUUCAGUGAAUCAUCGAAUCUUUGAACGCACCUUGCGCCCCUUGGUAUUCCGAGGGGCAUGCCUGUUUGAGUGUCAUUA